AAUUUCUUUCUUCAUUCUCAUAAAACAGAGCAAAUGCAUCAACAUAUAUACUCAUAAAAGGUUAGAAUCUAUAUUCUUAUACUUUGUUUUCAUCCGGCCAUCAAUCGAUACUGAUUUUCUUGUUCUUAUACAGAUUGAUUUGUUUGUUGAUAGAUUUAUUGAUUCCUAUAUAAGAUCGGCUAUCAAUAUCCUCGAUUGAGAAAUUCACGGGUUCUUGCAUUCUCUAUAAGUUUUCUUUGUCUGUGUCUUUCUCUGAUCUGUUCGUCUUCCUCGAUAUCCAUAAUCAUCAAAGGUAAAAAAAAUAAGAUACAAAUCUAGAUUGAAAUACAGAUUUAUGUUGAUACAAAAUUGUUGAAUUUGAUACUCGAGCUAUCGAGUAAAGGUUGGACUAUCAAUCGUUUAUAUUUUUUUCCGGUAAAAAGUAUCGUCAUUCUUUUUAACAAUUUUAAAUUUUGUUCUCUGAUCAAGAUAGUUAGAUUGCUAUCAGUUUUAAUUGAACUUGAACUACUGUAUAUUCUUAUGGUCUUUGGUUUUUGUUUUAUUUUGUAGUAUCCUAAUAAAACGGGAGAAGCAUAAACGGGAGAAGCAUCAUGUAGAUACACAGAAGCAAUUCAGGAAUUUUCCAUGGCCACAAUGUCUUGCAUCAAAAUAUAAAGUAAGUUGUCUGGCAAAUUUAUAUUACUUUUAGAAGGUUUAAGUGGAACUGUAAAUGGUAGAUAGGUUUUUCCCUGGAGAAUGUUUGAUGUGAUGUAAUGUAUGUACUGUUUUAAAUGAAAAUUAUCAAGC
rnacentral:lncRNA from 1 species